CCAGGGACAGCCGAAAACCUGGAAUAGAGUAGGCA
ncrna:unclassified sequences DTF805b RNA